UGUCUCUCUGCCACAAAAGACACUGAUGA
rnacentral:piRNA from 1 species